GAUUAACGCUAGCGGCAGGCCUAAUACAUGCAAGUUGUACGGGAUUAUUGGUAGCAAUACUGAUAUGAGAGUAGCGCACGGGUGCGUAACACGUAUGCAACCUACCUUUAACUGGGGAAUAGCUCACCGAAAGGUGAAUUAACACCGCAUAAAAUCACAGAAGGACAUCCUUUAAUGAUUAAAUCUCCGGAGGUUAAAGAUGGGCAUGCGUCCGAUUAGCUAGUUGGCGGGGUAACAGCCCACCAAGGCAA
rnacentral:rRNA from 1 species